rnacentral:rRNA from 1 species
AUUGAACGCUGGCGGCAGGCCUAACACAUGCAAGUCGAACGAGUGGCGGACGGGUGAGUAAUGUCUGGGAAACUGCCUGAUGGAGGGGGAUAACUACUGGAAACGGUAGCUAAUACCGCAUACCAUCGGAUGUGCCCAGAUGGGAUUAGCUAGUAGGUGGGGUAAAGGCUCACCUAGGCGACGAUCCCUAGCUGGUCUGAGAGGAUGACCAGCCACAAUGGAAGUGAGGAACGGUCGAGAGUCCGACGGGAGGCAGCAGUGGGUAGGAUUGCACAAUGGGCGCAAGCUUGAUACAGCCAUGCCGUGGGUAGGAAUAAUGCCUUCGGUUUGUAAAGUACUUUCAGCGGGGAUGCGUUACCCGCAGAAGAAGCACCGGCUAACUCCGGGCCAUCAGACGCGGUAAUUC